GGAACACCUUCUCAGAUGAUACAAAUUGACCUAGCUCAAGUUUGCACUGUAACAGCAAAAAGGAGUGAGGGGGAGGGAGAGGGAAGAAAAAGAAGCUGAUAGGGCUAGCAGGAAUGUCAGAUGAAAGGCAGAGACUGCUGUUGGUUUUGCUCACUCAGUUAAGGCAAAGGUGGUUCAUCCAGCAGUGGUGCACCCUGCAGCUCUGCUCACCCAGCAGAGUGAUGGGCAGUGGUGGUGCUGAGUGCAAUAAACCCCAAGGGAACUGGAUACUAAAGUGCUGGAGGUGAGUAGACAUAUUGCUGUUAGACAAAUGAGUAAGAAAUGUCAGUUUACUCAUGAAUUUCUGAGAUGAGUACUUCUAAAAUAACACACAUUAUGAAUAUGUUGUCCAUGCCUGGAAUUUCAUUUGCCUCCAGGUGUUCUCGAUUCUAAUUUACCUGUACAAAUUAAUAAUAAUGCUUUCACUGUACCAUAAUCUAAUGUAUCUCAUUCUGCCACAUUAUCCAUGUACCUCUG
rnacentral:lncRNA from 1 species